CAGCAGCCACGGUAAUACGUAGGUGGCAAGCGUUGUCCGGAAUUAUUGGGCGUAAAGGGCUCGCAGGCGGUUUCUUAAGUCUGAUGUGAAAGCCCCCGGCUCAACCGGGGAGGGUCAUUGGAAACUGGGAAACUUGAGUGCAGAAGAGGAGAGUGGAAUUCCACGUGUAGCGGUGAAAUGCGUAGAGAUGCGGAGGAACACCAGUGGCGAAGGCGACUCUCUGGUCUGUAACUGACGCUGAGGAGCGAAAGCGUGGGGAGCGAACAGGAUUAGAUACCCCGGUAGUCCCUGUCUCUUAUAC
rnacentral:rRNA from 1 species